ensembl:rRNA 5S_rRNA 5S ribosomal RNA
AUCUACAGCCAUGCUACCCUGAACAAGUUCGAUCCCAUCUGAUCUCGGAAGCGAAGCAGGUUUGGGCCUGGUUCGUACUUGGAUGGGAGACCUCCUAGGAAGAUUAGAUGCUAUAGGUG